GUGAAUCAUCGAAUCUUUGAACGCAAAUUGCGCUUCCUAGCAUCCCGGGAAGCAUGCCUGUUUGAGGGUCAGUUUUAACAUAAAAAUCGGUUUGGUUGCAAAUUGACGUUUCCGGUGUUUGGGCUAUCUUAACUUUUAUGGUUUAGGGGCUUAAAAUUGACCUUCUUUGCGCAUUUUUAGACGUACAUAAAUUUUUUUUUUAUUCGUCUCUUCUUAAUGCCAAAUUCUUACUUGAUGCGAUCACAUCGUGUGGUUUCGUGUCCACAAAAUUUUCAU
rnacentral:misc_RNA from 1 species